AAAAAAAAAGACAGUGGAGUUGAAAGUGCAUAGCCUAGUAAGACCCACGACGACCUGGACCCUGACAGUUCCCCUGCUCCUUGAUCUGUUCAAGUGAUUGCUCCUCAGCUAAGCCAGCAGGAGGCAGUUUUUUUUUUUUCCUGUAAUGAACCACAUAGUAAAUAUUUUAGGCUUUGCCAGCAACAGUCUCUGUUGUGACCACCCAACUCCGCUGUUGCAGUGAGAAAGUCAGAAACAAUACCACAUGAAUGAGCAUGGCUGUCUUCCAAUCACUUUAUUUGUCGGCUCUGAAAUUUGAAUUUCAUAGAAUUUCCAUGUGUCACGAAAGAUUUCUUCGACGGUUUUUCAACCAUCCAAAAACGUAAAACCCUUUAUUCGCUUGCAGCCCCUACGAAAACAUGGCAGGCGGGAUUUGGCCCAUGACCCACAGUUCACUGAACACUGACAUAAACCAUGUAUGUUCUUUCUUUCACUCGGACCACCCUUCCUGCCCCAGAUCCAUCUUCUUGCAAGUUUAUGUCUGUCCUUUACUUUGACCUCAAUACUUUCCAUUCCUUUUCCUUCAGCGUUCUUUAAUCUCCCCUUUUGCCCCAAAGCUCUUAGGGACCCUGCAUGGUAUUUGGCUUUCUGUAGCCCAGAUGAUCUGUGCUCCUCAUGAUGCUUAGCUGGGUCCGUUUUUUGUCUUUUCUCUAUCUUAUGCCUCCCAAGCAGACUGUAUAUUUCUGGAGGGAGGGCAGAGCUGACAUUUUAUGUCUCCAUGUGUCUCAUAGAGUCAUGCCCUACCCUACUUGGUGUUCAAUAAAUAUUCAGGAACAAAAUGAUACUUUUUAGCCCCUACUCUGCAGGGCUCAGCAGGAUUGUUUUAUGCACAAAGUUCAGAAAUAAAAAGCCAAACCCCAGCAAAAUUGCUUCCUUUUGCAUUCUUCAUUUUGAUGAUGUCUCUAAGGUGUGGUUUCCUAGAUUCUUUAUGCCCCUAAUAUAGUCCAAAUUACCUUAUAUUUCUGUUGUCUCUAAUAGAUAGGAAGUGACAUGUAGGGUACAGAGCCCCCGGUCACCUAGAGUCAUAUACUAAAACCUGUCAGAGUAAGGUAAAGAAUAGACCACACCAGACAUUGGUCUGAAAAGACCCCACUGGUGUGAGUAUUUCCCAGACUCCUCUAGCUUCCCCACUGCCCCACCCCCACCCUACCUCGCUCCCAGCCACCACGCUCACCUUCCUUUGGUUUGUGUAAGUCGUCAACCUCUUUGCCACCUCCAGGACACCUCACAUCUUACUCUCUCUGUGCCCCCUGGCCCACAUAGACACAAUUAGCCUGACAAGGUCCUACCCAGCCAUUAUGCAGGUCUAUCUUCUCAGGCCCCUCAAUCUAUAUAUUAACCCCUCCUUGCCCUCGUUCAUUCUCUUUCCGAGUAGCACCUGCAGGCUUCUACCCUUGAAAUCAUCACACAUCCUCAGCUUACAGUGAUUUGUCUGCGUCUCUCUGCUCCACCUUUCUCCCCGAAAACUCGAGGGCCGGAAGUAGAGCUGACUUGUGUUCACCCACGUUUGCUGUCUUAGCCUCUGCCUGACGCAUAGUGUGUGCACACUGACUAUUUAAUGAAUAAAUGGACAAAUGCCUCCAUGGCACGGAGUGAAAAUCAUGUCGCUUUACGGCUUAGUUUUUAUUCGCUUAUUUUGUUUGUCUUUACAUUAUUAUCUCUUUCACGGCACAUUCCUGUUCUUAGAGGACUGUGCAUUUUUAUUAUUUGUGUCAGGCACAUAGAUAAGUGCUUAAAAACAUAAUAACAAUUAGGAAAAGCCCUCUUUUGCUCUCCCUGGUGCUAGUGCAGAAUCCGUGCAGUGAUUUUGUGACUGUUUGCUCUGAGGUCCCUGGAGCCGAUAUUGCUGUGCUUGCUUUGUUUUCUGAGGGACUCGCUGAGCUGCAGAGAGAAUCUUUGAGCCUAUCUUGCUCCUGCUUUCUGCUUCCCCAUCCCUGUUGGCGAUAGGCUUUCGAAGUAGGAGGCAUGAAAUCAUGUUCCCUUUAUUGGCAGCUCUAAAGAGCAUCUGAAGCACUGGAGUGGUGAUCUUCAAACUGCUGGGGAAGAUUUGAAAGAGCACCAAUGUCUGGGCCCCACACGCGAACAGUUACAGCAAGAUCUUGGUGGUGGGUCCACCAUGGAGAUGUUUUAAAAGCUUCCAGGUAUGGAAGGAAUAACCCUCAAGAGUACUUGUGGCCUGGAAAACUUCAGAAGGGAAAUAGGGCUUUGGGACCCAGAGAUUCUCAUUUGAUUCCCUAUACUUUUUCUGUUGCCGGUGGGGCAGGCAGGAUUUAUGAGGUCUGCAGUGGGGCCAAGCAACUCAAGACUUGCUUCCUGGAGCCAGCCUUCCCCAGCUAUUUAAUUCAAGCCUAGAAGGAAGUACCAAGUCUUUGAUGUGUACUUUGGCCCAUAACUAUUUCAGUAGAGUUAAAAAGUAUUUCCCA